GAGACACGGUCUCCCUAUGUUGCCUAGGCUAGUGUCUUAUUUCUGGGCUCAAGCGAUCCUCCCGCCUCAGCCUCCCAGAGAGUUGGUAUUAUAGGCAUGAGCCACUGUGCUGGCUUGCACCUAGAUUCUUAAAGAGAACAUUACUAGAACAUUACCGGAAGCCCCUUGUGCACUGUCCCCUGUGGGCCACUUCUCCCACCCCAUUCCUGUCUUUUAAUACUAGAGAUCAGUUGUGCUUGUUUUUGAAAUUUAUGUGAGUGGAGUAUACUAUGUAUACAGUACACAGUAAAUACUGUAUGUACCACUGCCUAUAUACAGUAUACUCCACAGUGAGUGAAACAAGCCAGACUCAGAAGCAUACAUACUGUAUGUACCACUUUGCUUAGUAGCCACAGUGUAUGCACCAUGGUACAUGCAUAUACUUCUGAAUCUGGCUUGUUUCACUCAUGGUUAGGUGUGCAGGAUUCAUCCAUGUUGUUGUGUGCAGUUCUUGCUUAUUUUACCAGUCUGUCUUAUCCUGAGAAUAUCUUUGACAUUCAACUCUGCAUGCAGACCCUUCCUUACACGUUCUAGAGAGAGGACCUGUCUUCACCCUGUGUUUAUUACCCACAUACUUGAACAGCUGUUUCCUCCAGGCAUCAUUAUGCAAAAGGAAUGAAACCCGGUGUGUGCAGCUUUUUUAGAGGACGUAAAAGGAGUCAGCUCUUGCCUCUCAUCAAUAGUAUUGUUUAUCAGUCAUUUCUCUUUUGAGGCAUUGGUUGAAUAAAUGGGAAAAUUCCUGCUUUCAAGGAACUUAGCAGACUUGUUGACAGAUAAGACCAUAAGAAGAAAGCCAGUGAAGUACCCAGUGAUGUGAACGCCAUGGUAUGAGCAAGUACAUAAUAGAGACCACAAGUGCUUUUUAGAAGUUAGAGAUAGUCAUUCUCUGGGGCUUCCUCAGGAAAAUCCUCGCUGAAUCUGGGAUCUAAACUGGGCCUUAUGAUUCUUGGAUAUAAGCUGUAUUUUCAGUUCCAUGCAAUGAGUGACACAGACUGUGCUGCCAAAAAGGAAUUCUCAGUAAGGGCAAUGCACAUAAAUUACUGUGUUACUCAGAAAUCAUGAAUAGUUGAGAUCACAAGCAUGUUAUCAGAAUCACUUGGAAGAAGACUUCUUCAACACAUUGCUGAGUCCCAUUCCCAGAGGUUCAGAAAAUUAGAUGUUGACAUUUUCAAAGUGAACUUAAGAGAAUUAAUAGAAUAGAAGACAGAAAAUUACACAAUUCUUUUAAGGAACUGCGUGCCACCAUUAAAAUCACUAGUGAAAGGCAAACUGCUUGAAGACUUACCUCUUUGCUACCGUGGAGCCACCUCCUAGAUAAUCUUCCUCUUCAGCUGGUACUGUUUUAUAAAUGAAGCCUCUGAAUUGUUCAUUAGUAUUUUCAGACCUCUUUUAUCUAAUUUAAUCCUAAUAGUUAAAUCAACUGGUGAUCCACCUGCCUCAGUCUCCCAAAGAGCUGGGAUUGCAGGCAUGAGCUACCACGCCUGGCUGUAAAUUUCAUCUAUAAGAGAGUGAUACUUGUGGUGUUCUUGUGUUUAUAUAUUUUUUCCUCUAAGAAAGUGGGCUUUUUGACUGAUGGCUUGUUCUUUAGAGUCAUAAUAUCUUUAGUGUAUAGAUAAACCAAAAUUCUUCUAUAUUUCUGUGAUGGAGGACAUAAUUUGACCUUCAGCCUUGAUAUGUUCUGAUGUUCUGGUAAUGCUUGUAACAUUGAGGUGAGAAAUGUGUCUUGUCCACCCCUUCAACCCCAAAGACACACACAUUGUGUAAAUUAGCCAGGCGUGUUGGCGCAUGCCUGUAAUCCCAGCUACUCGGGAAGCCGAGGCAGGAGAAUCACGUGAACCCGGGAGGCAGAGGUUGCGGUGAGCCAAGGUUGCACCAUUGCACUCCAGCCUGGGCAAGAAGAAUGAAACUCGAUCUAAAAAAAAAAAAAAAAAGAAAAGAAAGGUUACCUUGGUGGGAAGAGGGAG
rnacentral:lncRNA from 1 species